AGUGAACGCUGGCGGUAGGCCUAACACAUGCAAGUCGAACGGCAGCACAGUAAGAGCUUGCUCUUACGGGUGGCGAGUGGCGGACGGGUGAGGAAUACAUCGGAAUCUACUUUUUCGUGGGGGAUAACGUAGGGAAACUUACGCUAAUACCUCAUACGACCUACGGGUGAAAGCAGGGGAUCUUCGGACCUUGCGCGAUUGAAUGAGCCGAUGUCGGAUUAGCUAGUUGGCGGGGUAAAGGCCCACCAAGGCGACGAUCCGUAGCUGGUCUGAGAGGAUGAUCAGCCACACUGGAACUGAGACACGGUCCAGACUCCUACGGGAGGCAGCAGUGGGGAAUAUUGGAAAAUGGGCGCAAGCCUGAUCCAGCCAUACCGCGUGGGUGAAGAAGGCCUUCGGGUUGUAAAGCCCUUUUGUUGGGAAAGAAAAGCAGCAGGUUAAUACCCCGCUGUUCUGACGGUACCCAAAGAAUAAGCACCGGCUAACUUCGUG
rnacentral:rRNA from 1 species